ensembl:ribozyme
AUUAGAUAAGUGGAAGCCAUAGCAGAAGCAUUCAUGCUGCAACCCUUGUCAGGUAAUACCUGUGAAUUCUGCU